rnacentral:rRNA from 1 species
GAUGAACGCUGGCGGCGUGCCUAAUACAUGCAAGUCGAGCGAACUGAUUAGAAGCUUGCUUCUAUGACGUUAGCGGCGGACGGGUGAGUAACACGUGGGCAACCUGCCUGUAAGACUGGGAUACCUUCGGGAAACCGAAGCUAAUACCGGAUAGGAUCUUCUCCUUCAUGGGAGAUGAUUGAAAGAUGGUUUCGGCUAUCACUUACAGAUGGGCCCGCGGUGCAUUAGCUAGUUGGGGAGGUAACGGCUCACCAAGCCAACGAUGCAUAGCCGACCUGAGAGGGUGGUCGGCCACACUGGGACUGAGACACCGCCCAGACUCCGACGGGAGGCAGCAGUAGGGAAUCUUCCGCGAUGGACGAAAGUCUGACGGAGCAACGCCGCGUGAGUGAUGAAGGCUUUCGGGUCGUAAAACUCUGUUGUUAGGGAAGAACAAGUACGAGAGUAACUGCUCGUACCUUGACGGUACCUAACCAGAAAGCCACGGCUAACUACGUGCCAGCCGCCGCGGUAACAC